GAUGAACGCUAGCGGCAGGCUUAACACAUGCAAGUCGAGGGCAGCAUGAGGGUUAGCAAUAACCCUUGAUGGCGACCGGCGCAAGGGUGCGUAACGCGUGAGCAACUUGCCCGUUUCUGGGGGAAUAACCCGGUGGAAACGCCGACUAAUACCCCAUAGCAUAUUCGAGAGGCAUCUUUUGAAUAUUAAAGAAUUUCGGAAACGGAUAGGCUCGCGUGACAUUAGCUAGAUGGCGGGGUAACGGCCCACCAUGGCGACGAUCAGUAGCCGGUCUGAGAGGAUGAACGGCCACAUUGGGACUGAGAUACGGCCCAGACUCCUACGGGAGGCAGCAGUGGGGAAUAUUGGGCAAUGGGGGAAACCCUGACCCAGCAACGCCGCGUGAAGGAAGAAGGCCUUCGGGUUGUAAACUUCUUUACCAGGGACGAAGGACGUGACGGUACCUGGAGAAAAAGCAACGGCUAACUACGUG
rnacentral:rRNA from 1 species